rnacentral:rRNA from 1 species
GCCUCAGUAACGGCGAGUGAAGCGGCAUCAGCUCAAAUUUGAAAUCUGGCCUCACGGCCCGAGUUGUAAUUUGUAGAGAAUGCUUCGGGCGAGGUCCGGUCUAAGUUCCUUGGAACAGGACGUCAUAGAGGGUGAGAAUCCCGUAUGCGACCGGUCGCCUCUGCCCAUGUGAAGCUUCUUCGACGAGUCGAGUUGUUUGGGAAUGCAGCUCAAAAUGGGUGGUAUAUUUCAUCUAAAGCUAAAUACUGGCCAGAGACCGAUAGCGCACAAGUAGAGUGAUCGAAAGAUGAAAAGCACUUUGGAAAGAGAGUUAAACAGUACGUGAAAUUGUUGAAAGGGAAGCGCUUGCAACCAGACUUGCGCGCAGCUGAUCAUCCGGUGUUCUCACCGGUGCACUCGGUUGCGCUCAGGCCAGCAUCGGUUCUGGCGGUUGGAUAAAGGCCUUGGGAAUGUAGCUCCCCUCGGGGAGUGUUAUAGCCCUCGGUGCAAUGCAGCCUGCUGGGACCGAGGACCGCGCUUCGGCUAGGAUGCUGGCGUAAUGGUUGUAAGCGACCCGUCUUGAAACACGGACCAAGGAGUCUAACAUCUAUGCGAGUGUUUGGGCGUCAAACCCAUACGCGUAAUGAAAGUGAACGGAGGUGAGAACCCUUAAGGGUGCAUCAUCGACCGAUCCUGAUGUCUUCGGAUGGAUUUGAGUAAGAGCAUAGCUGUUGGGACCCGAAAGAUGGUGAACUAUGCCUGAAUAGGGUGAAGCCAGAGGAAACUCUGGUGGAGGCUCGCAGCGGUUCUGACGUGCAAAUCGAUCGUCAAAUUUGGGUAUAGGGGCGAAAGACUAAUCGAACCAU